UCGACCUGAGCUCAGGCA
rnacentral:rRNA from 3 species